UGUUUUUAUAUUGCAUUUGUAUAUUAUUUAUUUAAAAAAGAAGCAUGCAAUUUCAUAUGAUGAGAAGCACGUGUCAGCAUAACUUACUAUACGAUAUACAGUUUGCUCUUUUUUAAAAGCUGUUCAGUGACACUGUAUCUGUUUAUAUUACGGUCCAUUGCUGAAUAGCGGAUGGUUUCUCAUUGCCAACUAUACCACAUCUCCUUGUUUAUAUACUUCCAAAGAUGACUAAAAUAAUCAAUUUUCAUCUAAAAAUAAUAUUGAAAAAGGUGAUUGCUACAACCAAAAUUCUAAUAAAUAAAUUGCAAUCUAAUUUAUAGUUGCUGAUACUGUAGGAAUGAGAUGCUCUUUGCAGUUAUACAUUUUUGCCUGGUUUGAGAGGAUAUUUUUGUUUUAAUUUUAGCUCAGAUUCAGCAGAAAUUGAACCUAAUAGAUACAAAAUUGGCAGAAAUUGAAAAGAAAAAUGAGGAAACUGAACCAAACAAUUUAACGUUUUCUCAUUUACAAAAACAGAUUAAUGACCGCACAGAACUAGCUCAGAUUCAGCAGAAAUUGAACCUAAUAGAUACAAAAUUGGCAGAAAUUGAAAAGAAAAAUGAGGAAACUGGAAACCGAAACAAUUUAACGUUUUCUUAUUUACAGAAACAGAUUCAUAACAGCACAGAACUAGUGGCCAUUACAGCUCAUCCUUCAUCCAGUGCAACGUUACAAGGCAUACUAAAGUUUGACGACGUCAAUUUCAGUGUUGGAAUCAAAAAUAUGUCGUCAUAUAAAAGUACCGGGAAGUUUGUGGUGGAGAAGGAGGGACUUUACAUAAUAUCGGCUUCAAUCAUCUCUAGUGCCAAUGGUGCUAAAUUCUACAUUUACCUGAAUGGUAAUCAGAUAUCGGGGACACAGACAUUUUAUACCAGUAGUCCUCCUUCUUCAAUGGAACAUACCGGUACUGCUGUUGUAACACUACAGUUACAUCUGAAUGAUAGUCUGUGGAUAUACUGUCCUGGGAAUUAUCAUAUAGCAGGCGACCCAUGGUCGACAUUAACAAUUGUGAAAAUCAAAUAAAUUAUUAACUUACAUAAUCACAACAAUGUCUGUAAUCACAUUUAUACGAAUCAGUGGCGGA